UGGGUACUGAACUUAGUAGUGGCUCAGGGUCCCUGGCCUUCCUGCAGAAGGAUCCCUGUGUUAUACUACAUUCUAUGGUUAUAAGAAGUCAUAACCUGAGCUGGAUGUUGGUGGCGCACGCCUUUAAUCCCAGCACUGGGGAGAUAGAAGCAGGUGGAUCUCUGUGAGUUCGAGGCCAGCCUGGUCUACAGAGCGAGUUCUAGGACAGGCUCGAAAGCAAUACAGAGAAACCCUGUCUCGAAAAACCAAAAGAAGGAGAAGAAUGAAAAGAAGAAAGAAGAAGUCAUAACCCAUCUCAUAUCAAGAGGAGGAGACAUCAAUCCCACUUUUCCUCCAGCCUUUCCUUCCUCAAGAGCAGUGCUGAGGCUGUCACAGAAGGUGACAGAUCUACAGAGCUGAUAAGUGAAUAGGGGCUGAGAUUCUUGGAUAGAACCUAGGACCUCAGACAUGCUAGGUUCCAACAGGGUGCUGAGACUUGGUGAUGAGUGACAUUGGAAGACACAGGCCCUCCUUUCAGAAGCAUAUGGACCCACAAAAGAUUCAGAAUUAAAAAAAAAAAGUCACAGUGAGUGUCUGGGGUCUGGCUGCCAGCUGGAGAUGUCAUCUAAUGAAGAGGGACUUUUAGAUUGCACCAUGGCUAGUGGCAGGUGAUCCACGGCACACUCGGACUUCUAGGUGUCCUAUGAAGGAC
rnacentral:lncRNA from 1 species